rnacentral:tRNA from 1 species
GCCUGACUAGCUCAGUUGGUAGAGCACAUGACUCUUGAAGUCAGGGUUGUGAGUUCAAGCCCCACAUUUGGCA